AGUGAACGCUGGCGGCAGGCCUAACACAUGCCAGUCGAGCGGCAGCGCGGGGGCAACCCUGGCGGCGAGCGGCGGACGGGUGAGGAAUUCGUCGGAAUCUGCCUUUUUGUGGGGGAUAACGUAGGGAAACUUACGCUAAUACCGCAUACGUCCUACGGGAGAAAGUGGGGGACCGCAAGGCCUCACGCAGAAAGAUGAGCCGACGACCGAUUAACUAGUUGGUGGGGUAAAGGCCCACCAAGGCGACGAUCGGUAGCUGGUCUGAGAGGAUGAUCAGCCACACUGGGACUGAGACACGGCCCAGACUCCUACGGGAGGCAGCAGUGGGGAAUAUUGGACAAUGGGCGCAAGCCUGAUCCAGCCAUGCCGCGUGUGUGAAGAAGGCCUUCGGGUUGUAAAGCACUUUUGUCCGGAAAGAAAUCCCUGGAGCUAAUACCUUCGGGGGAUGACGGUACCGGAAGAAUAAGCACCGGCUAACUUCGUG
rnacentral:rRNA from 1 species